AGUGAACGCUGGCGGUAGGCCUAACACAUGCAAGUCGAACGGCAGCACAGUAAGAGCUUGCUCUUACGGGUGGCGAGUGGCGGACGGGUGAGGAAUACAUCGGAAUCUACUUUUUCGUGGGGGAUAACGUAGGGAAACUUACGCUAAUACCUCAUACGACCUACGGGUGAAAGCAGGGGAUCUUCGCACCUUGCGCGAUUGAAUUAGCCGAUGUCGGAUUAGCUAGUUGGCGGGGUAAAGGCCCACCAAGGCGACGAUCCGUAGCUGGUCUGAGAGGAUGAUCAGCCACACUGGAACUGAGACACGGUCCAGACUCCUACGGGAGGCAGCAGUGGGGAAUAUUGGACAAUGGGCGCAAGCCUGAUCCAGCAAUACCGCGUGAGUGAAGAAGGCCUUCGGGUUGUAAAGCCCUUUUGUUGGGAAAGAAAAGCAGCAGGUUAAUACCCCGCUGUUCUGACGGUACCCAAAGAAUAAGCACCGGCUAACUUCGUG
rnacentral:rRNA from 1 species